rnacentral:rRNA from 1 species
UAGGGAAUCUUCCGCAAUGGGCGAAAGCCUGACGGAGCAACGCCGCGUGAGUGAUGAAGGUCCUCGGAUCGUAAAACUCUGUUAUUUGGGAAGAACAAAUGUGUAAGUAACUAUGCACGUCUUGACGGUACCUAAUCAGAAAGCCACGGCUAACUACGUGCCAGCAGCCGCGGUAAUACGUAGGUGGCAAGCGUUAUCCGGAAUUAUUGGGCGUAAAGCGCGCGUAGGCGGUUUUUUAAGUCUGAUGUGAAAGCCCACGGCUCAACCGUGGAGGGUCAUUGGAAACUGGAAAACUUGAGUGCAGAGGAGGAAAGUGGAAUUCCAUGUGUAGGGGUGAAAUGCGCAGAGAUAUGGAGGAAAAACAGUGGCGAAGGCGACUUUCUGGUCUGUAACUGACGCUGAUGUGCGAAAGCGUGGGGAUCAAACAGG